GUGGGGAAUCUUGCGCAAUGGGCGAAAGCCUGACGCAGCCAUGCCGCGUGAAUGAUGAAGGUCUUAGGAUUGUAAAAUUCUUUCACCGGGGACGAUAAUGACGGUACCCGGAGAAGAAGCCCCGGCUAACUUCGUGCCAGCAGCCGCGGUAAUACGAAGGGGGCUAGCGUUGCUCGGAAUUACUGGGCGUAAAGGGCGCGUAGGCGGACAGUUUAGUCAGAGGUGAAAGCCCAGGGCUCAACCUUGGAAUUGCCUUUGAUACUGGCUGUCUUGAGUACGGGAGAGGUGAGUGGAACUCCGAGUGUAGAGGUGAAAUUCGUAGAUAUUCGGAAGAACACCAGUGGCGAAGGCGACUCACUGGCCCGUUUCUGACGCUGAGGCGCGAAAGCGUGGGGAGCAAACAGGAUUAGAAACCCGUGUAGUCC
rnacentral:rRNA from 1 species